rnacentral:rRNA from 1 species
GAUGAACGCUGGCGGCGUGCUUAACACAUGCAAGUCGAACGAUGAAGCCCAGCUUGCUGGGUGUAUUAGUGGCGAACGGGUGAGUAACACGUGAGUAACCUGCCCUUAACUCUGGGAUAAGCCUGGGAAACUGGGUCUAAUACCGGAUAGGAGCGUCCACCGCAUGGUGGGUGUUGGAAAGAUUUAUCGGUUUUGGAUGGACUCGCGGCCUAUCAGCUUGUUGGUGGGGUAAUGGCUCACCAAGGCGACGACGGGUAGCCGGCCUGAGAGGGUGACCGGCCACACUGGGACUGAGACACGGCCCAGACUCCUACGGGAGGCAGCAGUGGGGAAUAUUGCACAAUGGGCGCAAGCCUGAUGCAGCGACGCCGCGUGAGGGAUGACGGCCUUCGGGUUGUAAACCUCUUUCAGUAGGGAAGAAGCGAAAGUGACGGUACCUGGAGAAGAAGCACCGGCUAACUACGUG